rnacentral:SRP_RNA from 2 species
GUUGGGCGUGGUGGCACAUGCCUGUAGUCCCAGCUACUCAGGAGGCUGAGGCAGGAGAAUUGCUUGAACCUGGGAGGCUUAGGUUGCAGUGAGCCGAGACCAUGCCACUGCACUCCAGCCUGGGUGACAAAGCAAGACUCCGUCUCAA